CUAUGGUGCCUAUGGAAUGUCUUGCUUUCUUUCCUGCAGAGACUGAGAGCCCCUCCUGUCCCAGGGGUGCUGAGAGGUCUGUCUCUGGCUCCCCCACCGCUCCCAUGUCUCUGCUGGGACUGGACCUGUGCCUCCUGGGAUGACCCCCACCAUCCACCCCUAGGCACCAGGACUGAGUCGGCUCUGAAAAGAAAUGGGGAAUGAAGCUUUGGGACUUGGUUCCUGCCUUCAGGGAGCCAAUGGUCCAGCCAGGGGGAUUAGGGUUCAUGUCCCUUCCUGGGCCUCCAGGAGGUCAUGACCUUCAAAGCAAGAAUGAGGAAGCCCACGAUGGUAGCGUGGGGCCCUGCAUGAAGUGCCUGUGACGGGAGAUGGAAGAACUCUGUCAUAUGUCCGUGAGAGUGAAAGGAACCUCAAGCAUUCAAGGAAACCAAACCGGUACCCAAGAUAGAUGAAGAGAUCAGGAAUUUACCAGGUCACAGAGGCUUCUUGGCAGCCACCUGCAGGAGACGGAUAACACCAUGGCCAGGGCCCCCAUGCUCCAUACCGUGUCUGUGACCUCCACAGACUCACUCCACAAUGUGACUUUGGGUAGGUCACAGUACCUGUACGGCCUCAGCUUCCCCACCUGUCAGAUGGGAAGAACAACAGCGCCCUCCCCAUGAAGCCAUCAUGAGCACCACACCAGCUUCACGUCAUGAGGGUCAGCAGGGAGGGCUACGCUGCAUCGUCCUCUCUCAUGACCAUGUCGGGGACAUCUGGAGCAUCACCUGCUUCCAGGCAGGGUGAAGGGAAUGUGGAAUCACUCGCUGACUCCUGCAUGCUUCAGCUCGGAAGUGGCACGCAUCUCUUCCACUCGUAUCUCACUGGCCAAAGCAGAUUACACAGCUGGGCCUAACCCCAAAUGGAAGAAGUGUAGCCCUUCCCUGUUUCCAGAAGAAGAGACAGGCACUGAUGGACAGGGGUGACAGCCUCCCCGCUGCUGUUCCUCGAACGCGCCAGACACGCCCCAGCCCCGGGCCUUUGCCCUGGCUGUUCCCUCUGCCUGGAGUGCCCUUCCCCAAACACCUGCACAGCUCGCCCCUCACCUUCUUUCAGUCUUUGUUCAAAUGUCACCUUCUUGAUGACGCUUUCCCUGACCACCUCACUUAAAACUUCAGAUGUCUCCUGGACACGGGCUGCCAAUCCCCCUUACCUUUACUUUAGCUU
rnacentral:lncRNA from 1 species